GCACUCGUAGCUCAGCCUGGAUAGAGCACUGCCCUUCUAAGGCAGGGGUCGCAGGUUCAAAUCCUGUCGAGUGCG
rnacentral:tRNA from 1 species